GAUGAACGCUGACAGAAUGCUUAACACAUGCAAGUCUUUGGCGAAGCUGUGCUUGCACCGCCUAGCCAAGGCGGACGGGUGAGUAACGCGUAAGGAACUUGCCCUGCAGUCAGGGAUAACAGACGGAAACGACUGAUAAGACCUGGUAAAGUCAGGCGGACUCAUGUCCAGCCUGAUGAAAAGAGAUGCUGCAGGAGAGCCUUGCGUCCUAUUAGCUUGUUGGUGGGGUAACGGCCCACCAAGGCGAUGAUAGGUAGCCGGCCUGAGAGGGUGGACGGCCACAAGGGGACUGAGAUACGGCCCUUACUCCUACGGGAGGCAGCCGUGGGGAAUAUUGGACAAUGGGGGCAACCCUGAUCCAGCAAUUCUGUGUGCACGAUGAAGGUUUUCGGAUUGUAAAGUGCUUUCAGCAGGGAAGAAAAAAUGACGGUACCUGCAGAAGAAGCGACGGCUAAAUACGUG
rnacentral:rRNA from 1 species